UUACGUAAAGUCUUGCUUGAGAAUGCACCGAGUACUUGGCUGUGAAAGGUAAAAGAAAAUAACAACAAAAGGUCCUAACAAUCCAAUAGAAUUAUAGAGAAUUUAUAAUUAAAUGUUAACAAUCAUAAUCAAACAUUAAGCAAGCUCAAUUAAAUUUUAUUGAACUUAUAAAAGAAACACAAAGAAAUCCUAAAGAAAUAUAAAAGAAUAUUAAAGAAAACUUAGUCAAACCCUAACAAAAAUCUA
rnacentral:lncRNA from 1 species